rnacentral:misc_RNA from 1 species
AGUGUUGCUUUUGCCAUAAAUUAAAUUCCUUGAGGAAUCUGAGAACAAAUGCAAUUUGUGUUUAUUGGUGUGAAGUGUCAUUUUCUGUCCUUUUAUUCUAUGCAAUUGGUGGUUUACAGCCCAGCAGUGAGCUGUGAGUGAUGAGUAGUAAUUUAGAAACUUUUCCCAUAUAAGUAUGUAUAUAGGUAUGACACCUUUACGUAGUCUUUUUUGCUUGCUAUUAUAUGAUUUAGAUAGAUAUGGUGGCUAGUGGGAUGCUUCCUUGAGGAUAUGCUUAUUCUUUGUUUCAUGCAUGUUUCCUUCAAUUAUUGCUCUUGACAAACAAUAUCCAAAUCAACAGAAGCAUUGAUCAGGAACAUGACAAUUUUUACAUGGCCCAAUUAAAUUUUAACUGUCAAUUUGAAAUUUGAUCUUUAAAACAUGUUCAAGACUCACAUGGCACACGCUUCCAUUUCUAUUCCAGUCUUUUUUCUCCAACCCUCUUAUCCUAGUUCUUGUCUGAAUUUUCUUCAUUUGAUAUAGUGGUCCUAUUUCUAUUUUGAGUGAGGUGACAAAUGGAUGGAUUAACAAGAACCUUGCCAUGUGGUUGCAGCUGUAGUGGGACAAGGAUUCCUA